UCGAGAAUCUUCGGCAAUGGACGCAAGUCUGACCCAGCCAUACCGCGUGGGUGAAGAAGGCCUUCGGGUUGUAAAGCCCUUUUGUUGGGAAAGAAAUCCAGCUGGCUAAUACCCGGUUGGGAUGACGGUACCCAAAGAAUAAGCACCGGCUAACUUCGUGCCAGCAGCCGCGGUAAUACGAAGGGUGCAAGCGUUACUCGGAAUUACUGGGCGUAAAGCGUGCGUAGGUGGUCGUUUAAGUCCGUUGUGAAAGCCCUGGGCUCAACCUGGGAACUGCAGUGGAUACUGGACGACUAGAGUGUGGUAGAGGGUAGCGGAAUUCCUGGUGUAGCAGUGAAAUGCGUAGAGAUCAGGAGGAACAUCCAUGGCGAAGGCAGCUACCUGGACCAACACUGACACUGAGGCACGAAAGCGUGGGGAGCAAACAGGAUUAGAUACCCGGGUAGUCCCUGAGCGGGCUGGCAAGGCGCAU
rnacentral:rRNA from 1 species